UGGUUUUGUCUUUAAGCUCAUAUUCCACUUGUUCCACUCAGCCCUUAACAUGCAUGAAUUGUAUCAAAUGUCAUCCCCUUGCUGUCUUAACCUACAAAGCACACAAACAUAGGUAAGAGACUCAAAAUAAAGAGAAGCUAACAAAAUUACUAAGGAAAGAAGGCAUGCAAAUGUGUGAAAUUAUGAGCUUAUCACCCACCAAAUGACUCCUCCCACAAUAUUAUGAUGUUCC
rnacentral:lncRNA from 1 species